AUGAACGCUGGCGGCGUGCCUAAUACAUGCAAGUCGAGCGAACGGACGAGAAGCUUGCUUCUCUGAUGUUAGCGGCGGACGGGUGAGUAACACGUGGAUAACCUACCUAUAAGACUGGGAUAACUUCGGGAAACCGUAGCUAAUACCGGAUAAUAUUUUGAACCGCAUGGUUCAAAAGUGAAAGACGGUCUUGCUGUCACUUAUAGAUGGAUCCGCGCUGCAUUAGCUAGUUGGUAAGGUAACGGCUUACCAAGGCAACGAUGCAUAGCCGACCUGAGAGGGUGAUCGGCCACACUGGAACUGAGACACGGUCCAGACUCCUACGGGAGGCAGCAGUAGGGAAUCUUCCGCAAUGGGCGAAAGCCUGACAGAGCAACGCCGCGUGAGUGAUGAAGGUCUUCGGAUCGUAAAACUCUGUUAUUAGGGAAGAACAUAUGUGUAAGUAACUGUGCACAUCUUGACGGUACCUAAUCAGAAAGCCACGGCUAACUACGUG
rnacentral:rRNA from 1 species